GAUGGUGAUGGUGGUGGUAGUGGUGGUGAUUA
rnacentral:piRNA from 1 species